GAAGUUAUCCCACUUUCAAAUCAGGUGAUUCCAGUUUCCCAGUUUGGGAAUAGCACAGCUUCUUCGUCGUUCCAAUCAAACCAGGAUGAAUCACUUUGUGAGAAGCUUGAUUUGGAUACAUAAAGUGGUGGAGAAUCACAGGAAGUUGAAUAAAUCUCAUAGGAGUUGGCAUGAAGAAGUUAUCCCACUUUCAAAUCAGGUGAUUCCAGUUUCCCAGUUUGGGAAUAGCACAGCUUCUUCGUCGUUCCAAUCAAACCAGGAUGAAUCACUUUGUGA